GAUAAGCAACACACUUUUCCUUUCUACUUUAAGGGUGCAAUGUCAACAAUAUCACAGUGUCCUCCAAGCUUGACCAGAUCUCUCCAGUGAAGUACAACUUAAUCCCAUUUGGUGUCAAGUUUUUACAAUAAAACUGUCACUUUAUAAUG